GAGAGCAUGGGCCGGGAAUGGAAAUACCGGUGCAAGCGAAGGAGGUGUGCAGCCGGCAAAUCCGCUGCAUGAGCCGAAAGCGUGGCGCGGAGCGAAAUGAAAGUAGCGAAGCAUGUGAGCCCUGUGCCGAGAAAAGCCGCUAUAGCUUUAUAUGUGCCCGUACCGUAAACCGACACAGGUGGAUGAGGAGAGAAUCCUAAGGCCGGCGGAAGAAGUAUUGUUAAGGAACUCGGCAAAAUGACCCCGUAACUUCGGGAGAAGGGGUGCCCACGGGAGUGGGCCGCAGAGAAUAGGCUCAAGCAACUGUUUAGCAAAAACACAGGUCUAUGCGAAACCGAAAGGUGAAGUAUAUGGGCUGACGCCUGCCCGGUGCUGGAAGGUUAAGAGGAGAGGUCAGCGCAAGCGAAGCUUUGAAUUUAAGCCCCAGUAAACGGCGGCCGUAACAAUAACGGUCCUAAGGUAGCGAAAUUCCUUGUCGGGUAAGUUCCGACCCGCACGAAAGGCGUAAUGAUUUGAGCACUGUCUCGACAAUACAUCCGGUGAAAUUGAAGUACCAGUGAAGAUGCUGGUUACCCGCGCCAGGACGGAAAGACCCCAUAGAGCUUUACUCCAGUUUGGUACUGGGAUUCGGUACUGCACGUACAGGAUAAGUGGGAGACUGAGAAACUUGAACGCCAGUUUGAGUGGAGUCGCUGUUGGGAUACCACCCCUGCAGUAUUGGAUUUCUAACCAGUCACCGUGACCCGGUGAUGGGACAAUGCCAGGCGGGGAGUUUGACUGGGGCGGUCGCCUCCGAAAGGGUAUCGGAGGCGCUCAAAGGUUCCCUCAGAAUGGUCGGAAACCAUUUGAAGAGUGCAAAGGCAGAAGGGAGCUUGACUGCGACACCGACGGGUGGAGCAGGUAGGAAACUAGGACUUAGUGAUCCGGUGGCAUAAAGUGGGAUUGCCAUCGCUCAACGGAUAAAAGCUACCCUGGGAUAACAGGCUUAUCACUCCCAAGAGUUCACAUCGACGGAGUGGUUUGGCACCUCGAUGUCGGCUCAUCGCAUCCUGGGGCUGUAGCAGGUCCCAAGGGUUGGGCUGUUCGCCCAUUAAAGCGGUACGCGAGCUGGGUUCAGAACGUCGUGAGACAGUUCGGUCCCUAUCCGGCGCGGGCGGAGGAUAUUUGAGAGGAGCUGUCCUUAGUACGAGAGGACCGGGAUGGACGGACCACUGGUGUAUCUGCUGUCGGCCAACGGCAUGGCAGAGUAGCCAAGUCCGGAAGGGAUAAACGCUGAAGGCAUCUAAGCGUGAAGCCCCCCUCAAGAUGAGAUAUCCCUCACAUAAGUGAGUAAGAUCCCUUGAAGACUACAAGGUAGAUAGGGCAGAGGUGGAAGUGUGGCAACACAUGGAGCUGACUGUUACUAAUCGAUCGAGGGCUUGACC
rnacentral:rRNA from 1 species